rnacentral:rRNA from 1 species
UACGGGGGGGGGCAAGCGUUGUUCGGAAUUACUGGGCGUAAAGGGCUCGUAGGUGGCCAACUAAGUCGGACGUGAAAUCCCUCGGCUUAACCGGGGAACUGCGUCCGAUACUGGAUGGCUUGAGUUUGGGAGAGGGAUGCGGAAUUCCAGGUGUAGCGGUGAAAUGCGUAGAUAAUCUGGAGGAACACCGGUGGCGAAGGCGGCAUCCUGGACCAACACUGACACUGAGGAGCGAAAGCCAGGGGAGCAAACGGG